rnacentral:rRNA from 1 species
GAGUUUGAUCCUGGCUCAGGAUGAACGCUGGCGGCGUGCCUAAUACAUGCAAGUCGAGCGAACAGACGAGGAGCUUGCUCCUCUGACGUUAGCGGCGGACGGGUGAGUAACACGUGGAUAACCUACCUAUAAGACUGGGAUAACUUCGGGAAACCGGAGCUAAUACCGGAUAAUAUAUUGAACCGCAUGGUUCAAUAGUGAAAGACGGUUUUGCUGUCACUUAUAGAUGGAUCCGCGCCGCAUUAGCUAGUUGGUAAAGUAACGGCUUACCAAGGCAACGAUGCGUAGCCGACCUGAGAGGGUGAUCGGCCACACUGGAACUGAGACACGGUCCAGACUCCUACGGGAGGCAGCAGUAGGGAAUCUUCCGCGAAUGGGCGAAAGCCUGACGGAGCAACGCCGCGUGAGUGAUGAAGGUCUUCGGAGUCGUAAAACUACUGUUAUUAGGGUAAGAAC